AUGCAGUGUACCCGCGGCAAGACGGAAAGACCCCGUGAACCUUUACUAUAGCUUGACACUGAACAUUGAGCCUUGAUGUGUAGGAUAGGUGGGAGGCUUUGAAGUGUGGACGCCAGUCUGCAUGGAGCCGGCCUUGAAAUACCACCCUUUAAUGUUUGAUGUUCUAACGUGGACCCGUGAUCCGGGUUGCGGACAGUGUCUGGUGGGUAGUUUGACUGGGGCGGUCUCCUCCUAAAGAGUAACGGAGGAGCACGAAGGUUGGCUAAUCCUGGUCGGACAUCAGGAGGUUAGUGCAAUGGCAUAAGCCAGCUUGACUGCGAGCGUGACGGCGCGAGCAGGUGCGAAAGCAGGUCAUAGUGAUCCGGUGGUUCUGAAUGGAAGGGCCAUCGCUCAACGGAUAAAAGGUACUCCGGGGAUAACAGGCUGAUACCGCCCAAGAGUUCAUAUCGACGGCGGUGUUUGGCACCUCGAUGUCGGCUCAUCACAUCCUGGGGCUGAAGUAGGUCCCAAGGGUAUGGCUGUUCGCCAUUUAAAGUGGUACGCGAGCUGGGUUUAGAACGUCGUGAGACAGUUCGGUCCCUAUCUGCCGUGGGCGCUGGAGAACUGAGGGGGGCUGCUCCUAGUACGAGAGGACCGGAGUGGACGCAUCACUGGUGUUCGGGUUGUCAUGCCAAUGGCACUGCCCGGUAGCUAAAUGCGGAAGAGAUAAGUGCUGAAAGCAUCUAAGCACGAAACUUGCCCCGA
rnacentral:rRNA from 1 species